AUCACAUUAUCCAAUAAAUAAUAAUAUUGUGUCUGUUGAAGAAUGAGCCAACGGCUUAUAGGUAUUGGCUUGGUUAAGGGAACUUAUUGGAGCCGUAGCGAAAGCAUGUCUUCAUAGGGCAAUUGUCACUACUUAUGGGUCCGAACUUGGGUCAUCUAUCCAUGAUCGAGAUGAAGCAUGGGUGAAACUAAGUGGAGGUCUGAAUCGACUAAUGUUGAAAAAUCAACGAAUGAGUUGUGGUUAAGGGUGAAAUAUCAAUCGAUCCCAGAUAAUACUUUCCUUGCACGAGAGAUUGGUGGU
rnacentral:rRNA from 1 species